GUCAAAGCCUGGGGCUUUUCAGAGAAGGGAGGAUUAUGGGUUUUCUAAUUACAUAAGUCAGAAGUAGAAAAAGGGACACAAACUAAGAAGGGUGCUGAGCGCUCGUCACCUGGAGGGACUUGUGCCUCUCUCAGUGGUAGUAGAGGGGCUACUUCUUCCUGCCACGGUCAUGAUUGAGAGGCAACGGGUGGCGAGUCUACAGGGGACGUCGUCGAGCAGACAUGGGAUAACUUUAAGGGAGAAGGGUUUAAGGAGUGAGAACAGAGCCAAGUCCUGGAGACGGUGA
rnacentral:lncRNA from 1 species